rnacentral:rRNA from 1 species
GAUGAACGCUAGCGGCAGGCCUAACACAUGCAAGUCGAGGGGUAGAAGUUGCUUGCAACUUUGAGACCGGCGCACGGGUGCGUAACGCGUAUGCAAUCUAUCUUGUACAGGGGGAUAGCCCAGAGAAAUUUGGAUUAAUACCCCAUAGUGUAAUGAAAUCGCAUGGUUUUAUUACUAAAGUUCCAACGGUACAAGAUGAGCAUGCGUCCUAUUAGCUAGUUGGUGUGGUAACGGCACACCAAGGCAACGAUAGGUCGGGGUCCUGCGAGGGCGCUCCCCCACAUUGGUACUGAGACACGGACCAGACUCCUACGGGAGGCAGCAGUGAGGAAGAUUAGUCAAUGGGCGCAAGCCUGAACCAGCCAUGCCGCGUGCAGGAAGACGGUCCGAUGGAUUGUAAACUGCUUUUGUACGGGAAGAAACACUCCUACGUGUAGGAGCUUGACGGUACCGUAAGAAUAAGGAUCGGCUAACUCCGUGCCAGCCGCCGCGGUAA